GCUCCCGUAGCACAGUGGUAGUUGCGCUUGCCUAGUAAUUUCUCUCUUCACGUGUACGAGAGCAAGAGGUCCAGAGUUCGAAUCUCUGUGGGAGCA